rnacentral:rRNA from 1 species
UACGUAGGGUGCGAGCGUUGUCCGGAAUUAUUGGGCGUAAAGAGCUCGUAGGCGGUGUGUCACGUCGGCCGUGAAAACCUGCAGCUUAACUGUGGGCGUGCGGUCGAUACGGGCAUCACUGGAGUUCGGCAGGGGAGACUGGAAUUCCUGGUGUAGCGGUGAAAUGCGCAGAUAUCAGGAGGAACACCGGUGGCGAAGGCGGCAUCCUGGACCGGCAUUGACGCUGAGGAGCGAAAGCUAGGGGAGCAAACGGG